AACGAACGCUGGCGGCAGGCCUAACACAUGCAAGUCGAGCGCGCCCUUCGGGGUGAGCGGCGGACGUGUGAGUAACGCGUGGGAACGUGCCCUUUUCUACGGAAUAGCCUCGGGAAACUGAGAGUAAUACCGUAUACGCCCUUUGGGGGUAAGAUUUAUCGGAAAAGGAUCGGCCCGCGUUGGAUUAGGUAGUUGGUGGGGUAAUGGCCUACCAAGCCGACGAUCCAUAGCUGGUUUGAGAGGAUGAUCAGCCACACUGGGACUGAGACACGGCCCAGACUCCUACGGGAGGCAGCAGUGGGGAAUCUUAGACAAUGGGGGCAAACCUGAUCUAGCCAUGCCGCGUGAGUGAUGAAGGCCUUAGGGUUGUAAAGCUCUUUCAGCUGGGAAGAUAAUGACGGUACCAGCAGAAGAAGCCCCGGCUAACUCCGUG
rnacentral:rRNA from 1 species